GGCGGCGGGAAAACAUAAGGCAUCCACGUUAGAAAGAAGAAACACUGUCUGACACAGUAGAAAAGGGCAACAGAAGCAGGGAGAGUAACACUCAUGUAAGAAUAAAGUGUCAGCAAACUCAGAAUCAUGUUAGUCUCACUCAGCAUAAAGUGUUUUCAAUCUAUUCUGUAUCCCAUUUGAGUAGUGUGACUUUACUGGCAAUUCUGAGUUAUCUGAUAACUUGUAUUCUACCUGUAACCAUCAGCACCACCCCUACCCAACCAUCAAUUUCCUGGUUAUUGAUAAUAUAUUAAUAGUUGGAAUUUUAUAAAAUACAAAGUUUAGCCUUCACACAUAUUUCUAACAAUUUUCCAUAUUUAAAGCAAAAAUAAAGUCAAGUUCAUGUGACAGGGAACCAGUGGGGCAAAUAUGCGAGCUUUCUAAGCAAAGACCACUGGACAGCACCAGCGGAACACUUUGUGGUAGUCCUGUGACACACUCAAAGAAUUUUUUAUGUUUCAUGCUCUGAUGACACCCUACCCUACUUGCAACUGUAAAAAGUUGUCCACAAUUAUUGUACUUUAACAUUUUCCUCCAAAUUUUCUAAUUACCACUACUACUU
rnacentral:lncRNA from 1 species